rnacentral:rRNA from 1 species
AGAGUUUGAUCAUGGCUCAGGAUGAACGCUAGCGGCAGGCAUAAUACAUGCAAGUCGAACGGGAAGCUGGAUAGCAAUAUUUGGCGGAGAGUGACGCACGGGUGCGUAACACGUAUGCAACCUACCCAAAACAGGAGGAUAGCUCGGGGAAACUCGAAUUAACCCUCCAUGGUAUCUGAUGAUGGCAUCAUCAACAGAUUAAAACUCCGGUGGUUUUGGAUGGGCAUGCGUCUGAUUAGUUAGUUGGCGGGGUAACGGCCCACCAAGACGAUGAUCAGUAGGGGAACUGAGAGGUUGAUCCCCCACACUGGCACUGAGAUACGGGCCAGACUCCUACGGGAGGCAGCAGUAGGGAAUAUUGGUCAAUGGGUGCAAGCCUGAACCAGCCAUGCCGCGUGCAGGAAGACGGCCUUCUGGGUUGUAAACUGCUUUUGCCAGGGGCUAAAAAGCUCAUGCGUGGGAAAUUGAAAGUACCUGGUGAAUAAGCCACGGCUAACUACGUGCCAGCAGCCGCGGUAAUACGUAGGUGGCGAGCGUUGUCCGGAUUUAUUGGGUUUAAAGGGUGCGUAGGCGGCUUUGUAAGUCAGUGGUGAAAUAUGUCAGCUCAACUGAGAGGGUGCCAUUGAUACUGCAGAGCUUGAGUACAGAUGAGGUAGGCGGAAUUGACGGUGUAGCGGUGAAAUGCUUAGAUAUCGUCAAGAACACCGAUAGCGAAGGCAGCUUACUAGGCUGUAACUGACGCUGAGGCACGAAAGUGUGGGGAUCAAACAGGAUUAGAUACCCUAGUAGUCC